UAAGACUGUGGAAUGAACAGUGUUUGUGUACGUGGUUUGUUACAAUUUUCCCUUGAAACACGUGUCCUCAUGUUUACACCUUACUUCUAAACGGUUUUACUUCAGAUGAGAGAGAACCGGAAGAGAGAAAAGGGAGAGAAGAGAGAGGGGCGGUGACCGGAGGGCCACUGUCGUCGCACCACCACCACGGUCACCAUCUCCGAUUUCUUUUUAGGGGUUUUUUCCUCAGAAAAUAGAGAAAGGAAAGAGGGAAGGAGAAGAUGGAGGGUGGAGGGUCACCACUGUUACACCACCACCACGGUUACCAUCUGGUGUCUCUGUUUUGUGGGGGGUGACCUCCAUACGAACCUGGGCUCUCUCGACUGUCGGGAAAUGAACAGCGUUUAUCUUCGUGGUUUGUUCCGAUUGACUUAUUUAGGCAGUCAUCUCCCCUGUGUCUUCCUGCUUUGGUCAUUGGAAACGAUGCCACUGAGACGACGAUUGGUUUCUUAGGGUUUUGCUUUGGCAUCGUCUUUUGUCUGCUGUUGGUUCCUAUGCCUUCAUUGGUUAGGUUUUUUGUCUUGGCUUCAAGGAUUUGACUAAAAAUUGAUGAGCAUGUAGCCUUGGCGUGACCAGGAUGAUGGAUGCACUUCUUUGGGGGAGCAAUGGGUGUCUUCACAACGCAAGCACUUCUACACUCUGUUAAAAGCCAAGCUAUGCCAUGUGUUGGUUAAGCAAGGAUGGUGUGAUCAUAGAGGAACAUAGCAAGAUGUUAAAGCCAAGAUUCAAAUAAGGCAAGGAGGUGCCUUUAAACGUGAAUGAGCGCUAGCAUAUGAUCUUGCUCAAGAGGGACGAACUUCUUAAGAUCGACAGUGGGGACGGUGUAUGAUUACUGAUCGUGGACAUUUUGUUCUUUUCAACAUAUGCGUGCCUUGAGUCGAAUCCCAUCUGAUGAUGCAAAACGGCUUGAAUUCAAGCUCUCAUUCUACAAGAUACUGCAGGUGAAGGCACUAGCGACACAAAGAAGACCAGGUACCCGGAUGCAUGAAGAAAAAAAAUUUUGUGAUCUAUGUAUGAAUAGAAGACUAUGUUCGGACUUCUAUAAUUCUCUUAAUAUGUCACAUUGAGACACGUCAACAACUUUUAGUAUCAACUUCGUUACUAUAAGUGAAAUGUUCAAACCGAUAACAAUUCAGUUUAGCGCGCCGCAACGCGGGCGUGGGUAUCAACCUAGUUAUUAUUAA
rnacentral:lncRNA from 1 species